AAGGCCUUCGGGUUGUAAAGCACUUUUAUCGGGAGCGAAAUACUACUGGCUAAUAACCGGUGGGGCUGACGGUACCCGAGGAAUAAGCACCGGCUAACUUCGUGC
rnacentral:rRNA from 1 species